GUCUCUGUGGCGCAGUCGGUUUAGCGCAUUCGGCUGUUAACUGAAAGGUUGGUGGUUCAAGCCUACCCAAAGACG